rnacentral:rRNA from 1 species
GACGAACGCUGGCGGCGUGCCUAAUACAUGCAAGCCGAACGCUUCUUUUUCCACCGGAGCUUGCUCCACCGGAAAAAGAGGAGUGGCGAACGGGUGAGUAACACGUGGGUAACCUGCCCAUCAGAAGGGGAUAACACUUGGAAACAGGUGCUAAUACCGUAUAACAAUCAAAACCGCAUGGUUUUGAUUUGAAAGGCGCUUUCGGGUGUCGCUGAUGGAUGGACCCGCGGUGCAUUAGCUAGUUGGUGAGGUAACGGCUCACCAAGGCCACGAUGCAUAGCCGACCUGAGAGGGUGAUCGGCCACAUUGGGACUGAGACACGGCCCAAACUCCUACGGGAGGCAGCAGUAGGGAAUCUUCGGCAAUAGACGAAAGUCUGACCGAGCAACGCCGCGUGAGUGAAGAAGGUUUUCGGAUCGUAAAACUCUGUUGUUAGAGAAGAGCAAGGAUGAGAGUAACUGUUCAUCCCUUGACGGUAUCUAACCAGAAAGCCACGGCUAACUACGUGCCAGCAGCCGCCGCAG